UGGUACCCGUAAUGCUGGGUGGAAGAGUGGCGAACGGGUGAGUAACACRUGAGCAACCUGCCCUUCACUCUGGGAUAAGCACUGGAAACGGUGUCUAAUACUGGAUAUGCACAAUGGCCGCAUGGUCUGUUGUGGGAAAGAUUUAUCGGUGAAGGAUGGGCUCGCGGCCUAUCAGCUUGUUGGUGAGGUAGUGGCUCACCAAGGCGACGACGGGUAGCCGGCCUGAGAGGGUGACCGGCCACACUGGGACUGAGACACGGCCCAGACUCCUACGGGAGGCAGCAGUGGGGAAUAUUGCACAAUGGGCGCAAGCCUGAUGCAGCAACGCCGCGUGAGGGAUGACGGCCUUCGGGUUGUAAACCUCUUUUAGUAGGGAAGAAGCGAAAGUGACGGUACCUGCAKAAAAAGCACCGGCUAACUACGUGCCAGCARCCGCGGUAAUACGUAGGGUGCAAGCGUUGUCCGGAAUUAUUGGGCGUAAAGAGCUCGUAGGCGGCUUGUCGCGUCUGCUGUGAAAACCCGAGGCUCAACCUCGGGCCUGCAGUGGGUACGGGCAGGCUAGAGUGCGGUAGGGGAGAUUGGAAUUCCUGGUGUAGCGRUGRAAUGCGCAGAUAUCAGGAGGAACACCGAUGGCGAAGGCAGAUCUCUGGGCCGUAACUGACGCUGAGGAGCGAAAGCAUGGGGAGCGAACAGGAUUAGAUACCCUGGUAGUCCAUGCCGUAAACGUUGGGAACUAGAUGUACGGCCUGUUCCACRGGUUCUGUGUCGUACCUAACGUAUUAAGUUCUCCGCCUGGGGAGUACGGCCGCAAGGCUAAAACUCAAGGAAUUGACGGGGGCCCGCACAAUCGGGGGAUAAUGCGGAUUAAUUCGAUGCACGCGAAGAACCUUUCCAA
rnacentral:rRNA from 1 species